rnacentral:rRNA from 1 species
UACAGAGGUCUCAAGCGUUGUUCGGAUUCAUUGGGCGUAAAGGGUGCGUAGGUGGUGAGUUAAGUCUGUCGUGAAAGCCCCGGGCUCAACCUGGGAAUGGCGAUGGAUACUGGCUCGCUAGAGUGCGGUAGAGGAGAGUGGAAUUCCCGGUGUAGCAGUGAAAUGCGUAGAGAUCGGGAGGAACAUCAGUUGCGAAGGCGGCUCUCUGGACCAGCACUGACACUGAGGCACGAAAGCGUGGGGAGCAAACAGG